rnacentral:lncRNA from 1 species
UGGAGCACAAUUGUGAGAACAACUGGAUCUGUGUCUCUGGAGAUCCCUUUGCUCAGCCAUCAGAUCAAGCAGGCAUCCAUGGUUCAGAAUGCAGGUGAUGACCUGGGCAAGAGCUCACCAGUAAGGAGCAAAGGGGCCCGCCUGCCACUCUUAAGCAGAGCGCCUGCUGAAUCAGGAUUUCCAAGGCUCCGGCUGAGUGCCUGGCUGGGGGCUGUGUGUGCAGAUGCCACAAGAUGGACAAGACUGAGGACGCAGAUGAGGAAACUGAAGCAACUGUUCAAGAAGAGGAUAUAAAAAGGGACAGGCAUUGAUGAUGAUAUCAGAGCUUCUUCCUGGGGAAUCUCAGCCUCACAUGAUGGAGUAUGACUAAAGGAAAAAAAUAAGGCUCUUCACAUACUUUCUUGGCAGUCUGUGAGGGUCAGGGUUGAUUUUGUGUCCCUAAAAUGUCACAUGAAGUUCAUAGGCACUUCCAAAGGGGCAGUCUAGCAAGUUAAAGAGUAGAUGUGGGGCUGUGUGGAGUCCAUUGUUUGGGUAAUCUUUUUCAAACAGUAGGAAUAUACCAGCUUGUAAAGAUUUGCCCACUUAGCUUCAAGUCUCUCUGAACACAUUUCCCCCCGCUCUAUGAAUAGAUGAAGACAUACAAAUGGAACUCUUGAUAUUCUUAAGUGAAAAACAUGAUAUGGAAUAGCAGAUAAAUACAAACAAUUUCUUAUCCAGCAAAGAGCUCCAGAAAUAUUUUGACUUCAUUUAAAACAGUUAUAUAAAUAUUUGCUGGUGGAAUUUUUUUCUAAACCAAAUACCCUGAAGGAUUUUAGUUGUCUAUCUACAACUUUUUGCUUGUGGAAAAUGUUGACUUCCUGGUUACUUUGACUUGUGUUCACCUGAAAUUUUGCUUUUGCAGUAGUUUUUCUUAUGAUUUAGUGGCAUUGCCUGUCCAGUGACAGGAAGUGGUGUUCUUAUUGGGACUAAUAUGUGUUAUGGCCCUAGAACCAGCAGAAGCCACUCCUGCUUUUUUCCACACUCUUCUUUCUAUAGAAGAGAAGGGAAUGAGGAUCCCACAUGGCAUUCACUGCCUUGAGCAUACUGAGAUUUCUUUGCAAAAGGAGAAACAGCACCAGCAACUAAGCAUUUUAUCCCAUUUUAUUUUACUUCUUCUAUGAUUCUUUGCCACUUAGCAAUGCCAAUUAAUUGAUUUGGGACUGGAAAUACAUUUCUUAUACAAUCUUCAAGUUUUCUUUCAUAAGAACAUAACUUUCAUCUGAUAUUGUUCCCCACUUCUCUCUUUUCAAAUGUAAUAUUUGGGCCAGUCCUUGAAAGUGAACUGAGUUGAGUUCUCAUGGCCCAUAAAAGAACAUAUUCAAAAUGUAUCAUUUUCUUUAUGUCACAGAUAAAAGAUCAUUAAUUGUAUAUAAAAUUUCCAUAUAAUUUUUAAAAUUUUUAUUUUGCAAUAAUUUAUUUUAGAUUUACAUUAAAGUUGCAAGGAAGGUACAAA